rnacentral:rRNA from 1 species
GAUGAACGCUAGCGACAGGCCUAACACAUGCAAGUCGAGGGGUAGUGGUAGCAAUACUAUGAGACCGGCGCACGGGUGAGUAACGCGUAUGUAACCUGCCUGCAACAGGGGGAUAGCUCACGGAAACGGGAAUUAAGACCGCAUAAGACCACGCUUAAGCAUUUGAGAGUGGUAAAAUAUUUAUAGGUUGCAGAUGGGUAUGCGUGACAUUAGGUAGUUGGUAGGGUAACGGCCUACCAAGCCAACGAUGUCUAGGGGUUCUGAGAGGAAGGUCCCCCACACUGGAACUGAGACACGGUCCAGACUCCUACGGGAGGCAGCAGUGAGGAAUAUUGGUCAAUGGCCGAGAGGCUGAACCAGCCAUGUCGCGUGCAGGAAGACUGCCCUAUGGGUUGUAAACUGCUUUUGUACGGGAAGAAAAAGCUCUACGAGUAGGGCCUUGCCGGUACCGUACGAAUAAGGAUCGGCUAACUCCGUGCCAGCCGCCGCAGUAAUAC